CUUCGGUUUUUCCGACGUUUUCCACAAAUAAACGUUGGUGGCGACUCCGCGCACCUUUCCUCCUUUGGAAAGUGCACCCGCGAGCCUCGCCCUCGCUCGACCGCAAAAGGCACGUUGCGACAAUGCUGGAUGAUGUGGCGUCACUGCUUCAUCUUCCGAUCAUAGGCGCCUUCCAUAACUUCGAGCCUCUGCAUGUGGACGAGGCAGUGAUUAUGUUGGUGGAGUUGCUAGAGGUCUCGCAUGAAGAGGCUAGAGCUGAGACUGCACAGUGUCAUGGGGCAUACACACGCCUAUCGUGGCUAUGGGAUAUUUAUCAGAGGAGAUGCGAGGCCCGACAUUGGAUUGUUGCAACUCGUGCGUAUCUCCUACAUUUGGUUGGUUGCACUCUUUUCGCUAAUAAGAGUGCAACACAGGUUCAUGUAGUUUAUUUAGACUUUUUUGAGACUUGGCUCAAAGUGGGAGCUAUGCAUGGGGAGUUGCCACCCUAGUGCAUAUGUAUGAUCAAUUAAAUGAUGCUUCUCAGAGUAUUAGUCGACACCUUGCUGGUUACAUUAUUUUAUUAUAGUGUUGGAUAUAUGAGCAUUUUCCCAGUGUUUAUGAGAGCGUGAUUGAUGAAGGGUAUGAUGAGAUGUCACUACGUGCCUACCGGUGGCUUACUACCAGACACAUAUAGAUGCACUGACGAUCCCUGACGUAUGCUGGAUGCCUUAUGGUGACCACCGAGGAGUUAGGGCGUUUGACCUCAUUUCAUGCUUUCAGGGUGAGUUUAAAUGGGGUCCCGUUGUGGUCACACAUCGCUCGAAGAGGGUGGUGUGCCAAUUUGGCUACAUUCAGACCAUUCCUCCAUCGCCUAUUGGUGCCACCUUGUCAUUUUAGGAUAUGGACGACAGGUGGAUGCAUUACUCGGACCAUCUAGUAGCUGCAGGACAAAUUUGUCUUGUGCCUGGCCAGUGUGCAACAAAUUACAUUGACUGGUUCUUCGGGAUAUCUCAUCCGUUCAUCACACCCACACAGGCAACUGAUCCUCCUAGACAUCCACUUGUCCCACAGCAUGAGAAAUACAUGGAGCCAGAUAUCCCGGAGGUUCCAAUGGCACCAGAAGUUGGACCUUUAAAGUCAACUGAUUAGCCCAGACAUGCAAUGGAUGCUUGCGAAGCGGUCACAGAAAGGUUGGAGCGUGUACUCAACCUAAAGAUGGUCACUGCAGGCACAAAGUUACAUGACAUCAUGGAAGACUGUUUGAGGAUCACUAGGGGUGUCACCUCAUAUGGAAAUGUGUAUGUUAGGGCACAACGAAGACAACGCAUGGAUCAGUGAUAAACGAUGUUUAUAUGUUGUAAUUGACAACAUUUUUGUUUUUCAUAAGAUUUUGUAUUUGUUACAUUAUUUUGCUUAUAACUUUUAUUGUAUUUUAUUCUAGUUGUG